CCUGCCCCUAGGGGUGUUGGCUAUGUGACUACUGUGUCACACAUGUGUCAGUAAGUGGCCCAAAGGAGAGAGGGCCCACCUACACUCAGUGUGCUGACCUGUGGCCAUCUGAAUGAUGGGUAACCUAGCCUA